rnacentral:rRNA from 1 species
UCGAGAAUCUUCCGCAAUGGGCGAAAGCCUGACGGAGCGACACCGCGUGUAGGAUGAAGGCCCUAGGGUUGUAAACUACUGUCACGUUCUAGGAAUAGCGCGUAUGCGUUUGACCAAAACGAGAGGAAGCACCGGCUAACUCCGUGCCAGCAGCCGCGGUAAGACGGAGGGUGCAAACGUUGCUCGGAAUCACUGGGCAUAAAGCGCACGUAGGCGGUCCGUUAAGUCGGAUGUGAAAGCCCUCGGCUCAACCGAGGAAUUGCAUCCGAUACUGGCGGACUCGAGGAUGGUUGGGGUGAGUGGAACUCCAGGUGGAGCGGUGAAAUGCGUUGAUAUCUGGAGGAACACCAGUGGCGAAGGCGGCUCACUGGACCAUUCCUGACGCUGAGGUGCGAAAGCCAGGGGAGCGAACGGGAUUAGAUACCCCCGUAGUCC